rnacentral:rRNA from 1 species
AGUGAACGCUGGCGGUAGGCCUAACACAUGCAAGUCGAACGGCAGCACAGUAAGAGCUUGCUCUUACGGGUGGCGAGUGGCGGACGGGUGCGGAAUACAUCGGAAUCUACUUUUUCGUGGGGGAUAACGUAGGGAAACUUCCGCUAAUACCGCAUACGACCUACGGGUGAAAGCCGGGGAUCUUCGGACCUUGCGCGAUUGAAUGAGCCGAUGUCGGAUUCGCUAGUUGGCGGGGUAAAGGCCCACCAAGGCGACGAUCCGUAGCUGGUCUGAGAGGAUGAUCAGCCACACUGGAACUGAGACACGGUCCAGACUCCUACGGGAGGAAGCAGUGGGGAAUAUUGGACAAUGGGGGAAAGCCUGAUCCAGCCAUACCGCGUGGGUGAAGAAGGCCUUCGGGUUGUAAAGUCCUUUUGUUGGGAAAGAAAAGCAGCAGGUUAAUACCCCGCUGUUCUGACGGUACCCAAAGAAUAAGCACCGGCUAACUUCGUG